CUCCAGGAAGCUAUGCAUAUUCAACGUGCAGCUCUUCUGUCUGGAUGGCACAGAGGAUCUGGGUGGCAAGGCAGGGUCACCACCCCCACCCUGUGUUAUGAGCGCUCUUGCUCCUCUUAGGGCGCAGGGGCAUCAGACUCUGCCUGUGGAUCCUGAUUCCUUGAACACCAGGAAGGGCCCUGAUGUGGGGAUGUCAACAUGGCUCAGAUUGAUGUGGAUCAUGAUCAUUUUGGGAACUGUGUUACUCCAAAAACUUUUAUAAUCUUUGCUUAACUUGUUUUUAAAUAUUUUCCUGGCUGGGCACGGUGGCUCAUGUCUGUAAUCCCAGCACUUUAGGAGGCCGAGGUGGGUGGAUCACCUGAGGUCGGGAGUUUGAGACCAGCCUGGC
rnacentral:sRNA from 1 species